rnacentral:misc_RNA from 1 species
GAUGAAGAACGCAGCGAAAUGCGAUAAGUAAUGUGAAUUGCAGAAUUCAGUGAAUCAUCGAAUCUUUGAACGCACCUUGCACCCUUUGGCAUUCUGAAGGGUAUGCUCGUUUGAGUGUCAUUGUACUCUCACACUCCCGAUCUUUGCAUUGGGAGCAGUGGACUUGGGUUUGCUGCUUCACCGUCGCUUACCUCAAAUAGGUUAGUGCAACUCUUGGUUGGACAUAGUACGGCGUGAUAAGUGUUCUUCGCCGGUGCCUCGCAAAGAGGGUGGCCGAUCGGGAUGUUGUGCUCCAAACCGUCUUCGGACAAUCUCUGACGACUUGACCUCAAAUCGAGUAAGACUACCCGCUGAACUUAAGCAUAUCAAUAAGCUGAGGA